AUCUGAGUUGGGACAGUUUCAUCCCACCCCCACUCCCAUAUGUGGAAAAAUUGUCUUCCAGGAAACUGGUCUUUGAUCCCAAAAACUCUACUCUCAUUGGUAUGUCGACCUCUAGUUUCCUGAGUCUUCACUGCCGAGUCAUAUAAGAGCCCAAAUGGAAUGAAAGGCCAGGACCCAGAACCUAACAAGUGUCUGCAGACCUGCAAUUAAAUUCUUCAAGUGAAAAUGUGUUACAAGAGUAUAUUGUGUGAUGCCAAGGUUUGCUGUACAAAUGAUUCUGGCACUCAGGAAGAGCACAUAGUACUGGGCAAACAGAUCCCAGCCUGUCAUACUACUACCAUCACUAUAUUCAGCAAAAGUCCCAUGAGAAGUCUUGGCAUUACUCCUGUUAAAUUCAAAUUUCAUCAUGAUUCACUGUGACUUCUUCUUGAUUAUUGAAACUGGGCACUAGGCUAGCAUUUACUGCAGUGGUUUUGAUUGAUAGAUGUGAAAUCAGAGAGAACAAAGAAUAACAUCGUUCCUUCUGAGACUUCCUGAUCCGUUUCAUCACAACUAUUUUCCUCAUUUAUUCCAGUAAGUUUAUCUUCACUGAGUUCCUCCGGCAAUAUACCUAGAUCUAUGGGCAGUGUCAGUGUUUUAUCUUUACACUAUGAUUUAAAGUGAAUGCCUGCUUUUGCUGAGGACAUAGUGAGAGGGAAGGAGGUAAUGGUGCUGGAAUCUGAUAGCUGAGGUCAGUCAUGCUUAGGUGACUAACUUCCAGUAGUAAUCCUGAAGAA
rnacentral:lncRNA from 1 species